GUGGAAAGCCUUGGAUACCAGGUGAGGUGUCUGGACGUUUUCUGAGGGAUCAAUGCCGCUGGGGGUCAGAGCGGGGAGAGUCAGGGGAGUGUGGCAGGGUGCUGGCUAGCUUUGAUCCCUGCUGCCAGGAGGACGUGGCGUCUUCCCGUUCACAGAGCAGCAGCAUUCUUGGGGCAACAUCUUUGUGGCCCCGCCCUCCACACCCCGUUCACAAGUCCCGAGGCUGCGGUAAGCUGGGGCUAGCUUGGUGGCUCCUAAGAGCCCAACGUUGACAGCUCUUCCCAGCUCUGUCCUCGGUGACACUCUGUUGGUAGCUUGAAAUCAAAGUGGGAAUGUGUAUACAACAGAGACUGGCAAACGCUAGGAGUCAGGGUCUAGCUGGUUUGGUUUGUUUGUUUUAUCCCUCAUCGCCAUCACAGACGGCUGUUAAACCUUCACCAGCACGGCCCUGGGUGAUGGCAAGCCCCUGAAGGGGUUUACGCUGGAGAGUGAGAGUGGGGUCAGCCGUGACCACACUGAACUGGGAGAGAGUAUCUGUGGACGUGGGUCGUGCCUCCUUCCCUGUUGAGGAGGCUGGAGGGUGGGCGUGGGAGUGGCCCUGGGCCGAGAGAGUUGAGCCGUCUUCCCCAUCUGUUGGCCGAUUCUGAGGACCAAACUCCUUAGCGUGGUCUAGGCAAACUUUGACCCUCCUCACCCGGAGGAAACUCACACUGCCUUGCCUGAGCAGGCUCUGUCCCGGCCACACUGAACUGCUUUCAGCAUCUGAAACGCAGCCUGCUCCUCCUCCGUCCGAACCUGGCACUGAGGGUGCACGCAGUAAACACACACCUGACCGUAGCUCUCCUACUACAUGCUGGCCAAGCGUGAGAGCCGGGAUGGGGGGCGCUGGCUUUUCCAGGUGGGCAGAGGGGCUUGCCGGCAGAGAAAGCAUCUGAGCGGAGCUUGCUUUCCUAACGGUGAUUCUGGUUCGUCUUCACUACAUGGUGAAAGCAGCAGGAUUUGUUCAAUGCUUCAGAGUCGCAAAGCACUUGGCCCAAAGGAUCCUUCCAACAAGCUUGUAAGAUGUAAAUGUAAAAUGUAAAAUCCCAUUUCAGAGAUGAGGAAACUGAGGGCCAACUGGUAGACCCCAAGCCUUGACCCUGACUCCUGGGACCCUCCAUCUCGAGCUGGCUCCCUGAACUGGGGGCUUCAGAUGGUUCAUCCCAGGUGAGCUCAGAUGUCAGGAGCAGUCCAGCCUCCCCCAGGAGAUCAGAUCCAAGGUCUGACCCCAGAGACAGGUCUGCAGACCCCAUCACCACCGUCCCUCAAGGACCUGCCUCUUAAAAAUGGGCAUUAGUGCUGGCAGUGUUGCUUUUUUUUGCUCUUUUGGGAAAAGAAAAACCUGGCUUCUUAGAGCUGUUGUAUUUUAUUUUUCUGUAAAGAGGAAAUUAAUUUUAGUCUUUCUUUUUGGUUUAAAAUGUUGUUCUUUGCUUUUUCUGCCCUACAAUUUAAAAGGAAACAUUUGUCUGUUGAGAAAAGAAAUGAUAAUUAUAGACUAAAAAUUGUUUCUAUUCUGAUUUGAAAAAGUGACAAAAAAAUAAAAAAAUUCCAUCACACAGAUGGGGCCCUGCUGACGGAGGGUGUUUAACAAUGAAGCCCCAGGCUGGCUGGGGGCUCAGAAUGGCAUUCGAGGUAGAUUUGGGCUCCAGCAUUGCCUGGGAGAAGGGCUUUUUCCGAGGCUGCUCUCCAUUUCUGAUGCUGGGUAACAGCCCGUGUGGAGUGUGGACACUCUGACCCUCCACGCGGUUCAGCAGUGAGAGGACAGUUUACCUGUGGAUUGAAUGGUCCCUCUUAGGUGAACUGUGUGCCGAGGCCAGCACUCCCUCUCAUGGCCCCUGAGCUUGAGAGCCUGCUAGCCUUAUUCCCUUAGCCGAGAGUUUUACAAAACUACAAUCACUCCAAGUCCUUUGAUCAGUAAUGCAGGAAGCUGAUUAGACUGUGAAAUUAAACUAAUAAUGUCAUACUGUUAACCCUCGAAAGAGCUCAGAGUGAAGGCUAUUUCCUCCAUCCAUAUUGCCCUCUAGAUACAUGUAUUUACUUUUUGGAACAACUCCUAGGCGCACAUGCAUUCCUGGGACCCCUCUCUUUCCCCCAGACCCGGUGUGAUCCCCAGUGCAGUGCCCCACUUAAGGGAAGAACAACUGAGGCUGAGUGAUUGACGCCGUGUGGUCACACAGCUAAAGGAGAGAUGAGCCUGGCUCUAGAACACUGGUCCAGAACGCUUUGGUUGCCCGAAUUGUCUCCAGGGGCUGUUCCAGAAUUAACGACGUCUUUGUCCUUCCCUGGCCUUGCCACUGAGGAGGAAGAGCUAGCAUGCCCUUCAUGCCCUUCCCACUGGCCCUCCCACGGCUGGUCCUCCGCCGGGACCUGUCAGUUCCAUCACGGUGGAAUGUUGCCAGGGAUCAGACCCUCUCUCUAAAAGUGGUGAUGGUAUUUAAUAACUAAUUACUCUAAUGAUCCUGCAGAAAUGCUGGAGACCUGUUUUAGGAGAGAUGUCAAUUAGAGCCAUCUGCACGGUGAAUAAAGGAACCCUACCCCAGCUGUACUGUUGAAACAUGUUAGCGUUUUCCUACCAGCGGCCAUAUGGUACUUAACGAAAGUGAAUUGUCCACACUGCACAACCCGCGCCUCCUGAUGAAUACCAGCAUUUUGUUUUAGAAAAUAGUUCUUCAAUCGUGUGGAUAUUUGUCAAUGCAAUAAGUAGCAAGUUGGAAGCCGGCAAGCCCUUGAAUGCAAAAAGACUUCCCUCACCUCAAGAUGCUCUUCCCCCAUCCCAGCCCACCCCCUGCCCCCGCUGGCUGCCAAGCCCAGCUCCACCCCAGGCCCGUAUCCCAUCUGUGCUCAGUCCUCAGCAUCUGCUUUCGAAUCUGCUCAGGAGAGCCAAGGCCAUGCAGGGUUCUGGCACCACCCCACCUUGGCAUCUCGAUUCGUGUGAAAUCAGAAGCAGGAUGUCUGAAGCUAUGUAGAAUGGGAGCACGGAGGCUCCAGCUGGAAGGGCACAAAACAUUGGGCAAAAGUCACCCAAGAGUUGAGAAGUAAGUGUAGGAUGUUUGGGUGUGGCUUCCGAGAAGGGUUAGCUUUCUACUUGCAAUCUGUUCCUUUCAAGAGGUACAAAGCUCAGGUUGGUACCUGGACGCUCAGAGAGGUGGAGGAGGGUGGUUUCGGGGGCUCAGCAGAAGCCGGCCUAAAGCCUUGUCCUUGGCACCAGCACAGGCAGGGCCACCAAUCAGUAGUGACCGCAAGUUGUUGCCACCUGGUGGCCACUGCUGACCUGUGCCCAGAGAGCUGGGACGAGGGUACAGCCACCCUGUGGGUUCUGUUAACUGAGAACAGGCAGGUUUCAGAAGCCGACCAGCGCCAGGACCAGGCCUGUGCUGUGCUCUGAUAGUUAUGCCCCCACCUCCCACCCACUGCCAGGCUGUGCUGGGCAAGGGGACCAGACCCUCCACUCCCUUGUGGGGCUCUGUGGCCUCCACAAGCUGAAGGUCCUGCUGUCGGGACCGCAGGAGGAAGCUGUUUUAUUGCAGUGGCUCUGGGACCAACAGGAUUUCACUUGCUGGCAACAUCUCUUCUGGAAUUUUCCCUAGGACCGAAGUCACUUAUUAACGCUUAAGAAAGGACAAGCCUGACUGCCGUUCAUGAUACAGAUCUGCUGCAAGUCCUGAAAUCCAAUACGUUCUUCGCCAAACUGUGGUCCCUUAAAUCUCACUUAGUUCCAGUUCAGCAGCAACAGGUCCCUAGUUACAAUAAUGAUCCUAAGUUGAGCCGAACACAUCCCUAAAGGAAACCCUUCAGGGUGAAAACUAGCGGAAAUGAGCUCCCGUUUGUCUUGACCAGCAGGCUUCACCGUUUGCUUUCCAUGUCCGUGCCCUGAGUGUUGCCCCAUUCUCACUGACACCUGGCCCUGUAACAGACGCGUGUCUGAAAGAAGCAAGUCACGGUGACCCCAGGUGGCCACCUCAGCCAGGCGACCAAGGCCGCGGGCAGCCUCGAGCACACUUGACCAUGAAAGGUGCCCAGAGCACCUCAAGUAAGUCACUAGCCUUUCCAUGGGCCAAUGACCCUCGCAGACUAGAGCCCGCUCUGCUGCCUUUCUUCCCACCCCAUUUGAGGCCGUGCUUGGCAGUUACCCUAAAGAGUUAAGCCUUUCCUCAUUUUGGGGUUGGGCGGAAGGGUAGGGGAAGGCUGGGGCCAGUUUGACAUAUGCAGCCUGGUCUGAACAUGAGUGCUGUGCUCAGUCGCUGAAUUUGAUGAAUUGCUUU
rnacentral:lncRNA from 1 species